rnacentral:lncRNA from 1 species
GCAUGUGUAUUUUUACCUUACCUAAAUCCAACCUAUAAGGUUUAUUCUUCAGUUAAUGCCAAUGUUCUUGUUUCUCAGCAUGAUGGCUUAUCUGAUGUUACGUUGUAUUUUCUUUUUCAACUACAGUAUGCAACAGAUUUACCACAUCUUGUGUCAAGUUACUCCAGAGAUCCUUUAAAUCUGAAGUUAAAAUCACAUCUUUUCAACAUAGAUGGGAGAAAGGAGGCACAGAGCAGAUCAAUGAAUUGUCCCAAAAGCAAGCAGGAAGAGUGUGGUUCAGUCAAAUUCUCACAGGGGUGAAAAUGCACUGUAAAUCUCGCUGACAGCUUUGUCAGUCAUUUGGGCACACAGUCAGCUGCAGCGUGGACACCUCUUAGCCCAGUAUGUGAGAAAGGACCAGUAUCCAUUUACUAAAAUGGUCUCUGAUCUAAAAUCUAUUCUUGUCAAUUAGUAUUUUUCCAUUGACGUCGAUGCACUUUGGAACUUGCUUGUGGAGGCAGAUCAAGUCAAGAAAGCUCAGGAACAGAGUUUGGGAACACAGGACAGGAAAGUGCCAGAGACUUCAGAGCAUUGCACCAGGAUGGUGGGAUGGGAUUUUUGCUAGCAAGAUAAACUGGAUACCCAGGGAAAAGAGGUGAAUAUCCUGGAGAAGUAUUUCAUUUGGGACACACAGUGCUUUAUCUAGCAAGUUCAGCCUCACC